rnacentral:rRNA from 1 species
AAUGCAGUCGUACGCUUCUUUUUCCACCGGAGCUUGCUCCCACCGGAAAAAGAAGAGUGGCGAACGGGUGAGUAACACGUGGGUAACCUGCCCAUCAGAAGGGGAUAACACUUGGAAACAGGUGCUAAUACCGUAUAACAAUCGAAACCGCAUGGUUUUGAUUUGAAAGGCGCUUUCGGGUGUCGCUGAUGGAUGGACCCGCGGUGCAUUAGCUAGUUGGUGAGGUAACGGCUCACCAAGGCUACGAUGCAUAGCCGACCUGAGAGGGUGAUCGGCCACAUUGGGACUGAGACACGGCCCAAACUCCUACGGGAGGCAGCAGUAGGGAAUCUUCGGCAAUGGACGAAAGUCUGACCGAGCAACGCCGCGUGAGUGAAGAAGGUUUUCGGAUCGUAAAACUCUGUUGUUAGAGAAGAACAAGGAUGAGAGUAACUGUUCAUCCCUUGACGGUAUCUAACCAGAAAGCCACGGCUAACUACGUGCCAGCAGCCGCGGUAAUACGUAGGUGGCAAGCGUUGUCCGGAUUUAUUGGGCGUAAAGCGAGCGCAGGCGGUUUCUUAAGUCUGAUGUGAAAGCCCCCGGCUCAACCGGGGAGGGUCAUUGGAAACUGGGAGACUUGAGUGCAGAAGAGGAGAGUGGAAUUCCAUGUGUAGCGGUGAAAUGCGUAGAUAUAUGGAGGAACACCAGUGGCGAAAGCGGCUCUCUGGUCUGUAACUGACGCUGAGCUCGAAAGCGUGGGGAGCAAACAGAUUAGAUACCCUGGUAGUCCACGCCGUAAACGAUGAGUGCUAAGUGUUGGAGGGUUUCCGCCCUUCAGUGCUGCAGCUAACGCAUUAAGCACUCCGCCUGGGGAGUACGACCGCCACGUUGAAACUCAAAGGAGUUGACUGGGGCCCGCACAACGGUGGAGCAUGUGGUUUAAUUCGAAGCAUCGCGAGAACCUUACCAGUCUGACAUCUUUGACGCUCUAGAGAUAGA